rnacentral:rRNA from 1 species
UACGGAGGGAGCUAGCGUUGUUCGGAAUUACUGGGCGUAAAGCGCGCGUAGGCGGCUUUGUAAGUUAGAGGUGAAAGCCCGGGGCUCAACCCCGGAACUGCCUUUAAGACUGCAUCGCUUGAAUCCGGGAGAGGUGAGUGGAAUUCCGAGUGUAGAGGUGAAAUUCGUAGAUAUUCGGAAGAACACCAGUGGCGAAAGGCGGCUCACUGGACCGGUAUUGACGCUGAUGUGCGAAAGCGUGGGGAGCAAACAGG